rnacentral:lncRNA from 12 species
UUCGAGACAGGUUUCUAUAGUUUUGGGAGGUGGAUGCUGAGGACCUGAGCUGAGUGAGCGCUUCUCAACCAUCACUUUCAUCCUCUGCAAGUUCAGCGCAGACGACACACUUUCACUGUGACGCCGUGGGCCAGUUGUCUCUUUGAAGUCCUGUAACUAGGGAGUUAACAAGUUAAUAUCAGAGGACAGGUAGGCCUAACUAAUCUUAAUGUUCUUCUGCAGCAAAGUUUUGUUAGUGUGUUUUUGUGCUUGUGACUAGGUGUCUUUCUUCAUGAUGUCCCACAAAAGUUAGUCAGUAGAAGUGAACUUUAUUUAAAAAAAAUAUAUAUAUAUAUAUUUUUUUAAUUGCCUUUGUGGUGGACCUUAAUUUUACAUUUGGGGUCAAAUUUUGUAC